rnacentral:rRNA from 1 species
GGGGGCGGGGGCUAUUUCUGUAGGAUAUGGACUCGGCUGUCGCUGAUGAUCAACGAAGUGCCUCCUUGGCGUACACACGUGGACAGGUCCACUCUCAGCAUUUGAGGGCCUUCUGGAGCUCGGGGGAGGGGCUCGAUCACGCGUGCCGCCAUCGUGGUGCAGUGCCGACCGCAGCCUCCC